GACGAACGCUGGCGGCGUGCUUAACACAUGCAAGUCGAACGGAAAGGCCCUAGCUUGCUAGGGUGCUCGAGUGGCGAACGGGUGAGUAACACGUGGGUGAUCUGCCUUGUACUCUGGGAUAAGCUUGGGAAACUGGGUCUAAUACCGGAUAGGAACUGCCUUUAGUGUGGUGGUUGGAAAGUUUUUUCGGUGCAAGAUGAGCUCGCGGCCUAUCAGCUUGUUGGUGGGGUAAUGGCCUACCAAGGCGUCGACGGGUAGCCGGCCUGAGAGGGUGUACGGCCACAUUGGGACUGAGAUACGGCCCAGACUCCUACGGGAGGCAGCAGUGGGGAAUAUUGCACAAUGGGCGGAAGCCUGAUGCAGCGACGCCGCGUGGGGGAUGACGGCCUUCGGGUUGUAAACUCCUUUCGACAGGGACGAAGCGCAAGUGACGGUACCUGUAUAAGAAGCACCGGCUAACUACGUGCCAGCAGCCGCGGUAAUACGUAGGGUGCGAGCGUUGUCCGGAAUUACUGGGCGUAAAGAGCUCGUAGGUGGUUUGUCGCGUCGUCUGUGAAAUUCCGGGGCUUAACUCCGGGCGUGCAGGCGAUACGGGCAUAACUUGAGUGCUGUAGGGGAGACUGGAAUUCCUGGUGUAGCGGUGAAAUGCGCAGAUAUCAGGAGGAACACCGAUGGCGAAGGCAGGUCUCUGGGCAGUUACUGACGCUGAGGAGCGAAAGCAUGGGUAGCGAACAGGAUUAGAUACCCUGGUAGUCCAUGCCGUAAACGGUGGGCGCUAGGUGUAGGGGGCUUCCACGUCUUCUGUGCCGUAGCUAACGCAUUAAGCGCCCCGCCUGGGGAGUACGGCCGCAAGGCUAAAACUCAAAGGAAUUGACGGGGGCCCGCACAAGCGGCGGAGCAUGUGGAUUAAUUCGAUGCAACGCGAAGAACCUUACCUGGGCUUGACAUACACCAGAUCGCUGCAGAGAUGUAGUUUCCCUUGUGGUUGGUGUACAGGUGGUGCAUGGUUGUCGUCAGCUCGUGUCGUGAGAUGUUGGGUUAAGUCCCGCAACGAGCGCAACCCUUGUCUUAUGUUGCCAGCAUUUGGUUGGGGACUCAUGAGAGACUGCCGGGGUUAACUCGGAGGAAGGUGGGGAUGACGUCAAAUCAUCAUGCCCCUUAUGUCCAGGGCUUCACACAUGCUACAAUGGUCGGUACAACGCGCAGCGACAUUGUGAGGUGGAGCGAAUCGCUGAAAGCCGGUCUUAGUUCGGAUUGGGGUCUGCAACUCGACCCCAUGAAGUCGGAGUCGCUAGUAAUCGUAGAUCAGCAAUGCUGCGGUGAAUACGUUCCCGGGCCU
rnacentral:rRNA from 1 species